rnacentral:rRNA from 1 species
ACAGAGGAGCCAAGCGUUGUCCGGAUUGACUGGGCGUAAAGCGCACGCAGGCGGCAUCGCACGUGGGGUGUGAAAUCUGGCCGCUUAACGGCCAGGCGCCAUCCCAUACUGCGAGGCUGGAGCGAUGCAGAGGUCGGUGGAAUUGCCGGUGUAGUGGUGAAAUGCGUAGAGAUCGGCAGGAACACCCAGGGGGAAACCAGCCGACUGGGCAUCUGCUGACGCUGAGGUGCGAGAGCGUGGGGAGCGAACCGG